AUGGGAGAGAGGCAAAGCGGACUUGCAAACGACUUCCCUUUGAAAGCACAAUCAAAGAGACACGAGGACACCACUGAACAGCACCUGUGGUCCCAGGGCCUCCUGGACUUCAAUCUGGUGCUUGGCGGCCUCCAGCCUCCUCUCUGCAGCCUGCCGGCCCUCUUCAAACUCCUUCAGGCGGCCGGCCAGCUCCUCCAGCUGGGAGGUGCGGUUGUGGAGCCUGACGGCCAGUCCGUCCACCCUGCCGUUCAGCUGGGCCUUCUCAUCACGUACCUGCAGCAACCCGCAUUGUUCCAGCAGCUGAUCUGCUGCAGUGUUGAAGGCCUCAAGAAGAGGUUGUCUCCUCUCGAGGUCCAGUGCCAAGCCCCGGGCCUUCUGCAAGGCUUCGUCCAGCGCCGCAGAGUCCAGCGCCGGCUGGAUCUCCCCGUCUCGCUGGUCGCACUCGGCCAACCACGGCAUCAGCUCGGCCCGGUGCUGCUGGUAGUCCUCCGCUCUGCCCAGCGCGUUCUUCAGCCUGGCCUCUCGCUCCGACAUUCCCUGGUUCAACCCUUCCCAGUCCCGCUUCAAGGACGCAAGGCGGGACUGCAGGGCGGACCGCUCGUCUCCGCCCGCGGGCAGCGUGGCGAGCAGCGACGCCCCCUCGGCCUGAAUCAGCUCGUAGGAGCCUCGCUGGCUGGCGACCGCUCGCUGGAGCUCGUCCGUGUGCGCCAGCAGGGAGCGGACGGCCGCCGGCUGACAGGGCAGCGGGUCGGCGGGGGACUCGCCGGGAUCGGCCCGCUUGUCGAGCCACGAGCGCAACUCCUCGAACAUCUGCUGGAACUGCUGGGUGGACGACAGGGCGGCCUGCAGCUGAGACAGGCCGUCGGCUGGAGGAGAGGAAAUAAAAACGCCGCACGACUAAUUCAAACAAACGGCAUUUAGGGAGUUUUUGUAGUAUUUAUUUUAGCGGAUUUGCUGCUUGUUUAAUUUCAAUCCAAACAAGAUUCCCGUUCCAGCUAAAGACGGAUUACGGUUGAAAUGCAAUAUUGUUUGACUGUCAAACUGACUGAUGAAUUCAUCAAACAGAACCAACACUAAUAUAAAUCCAGCAGGACUGGACUGGGACUAGAAAGAAAAAAGACAAACAAACCUGCGCGCUCCUCCAAGUUCUUCAGCGGCCCGCUGACGCUCUCUAAGCGCUUACUCAGCUCUUCCUUCAGGUACGGCUCGGCCACGAUGGCGCUCAGCUCGCCGCACAGCCGCUCAGCCUCGGCCAGCUCCGUGCGACGUCUCUCCAGCUCCGAGCGGAUCUCUCCGGUUUCCUGCAGGCGGCGUUUCAGCGCCUCGGGCUGGGCGCUCAGCGAGGCCUGACCGUCCAGCCUCUCGGCCAGAGCAGAAACGCUGGAGGAGAGCUCUCGGAGCAAGUCCUGGGCGGGAGGAGGUGGGUUAGGAGAUGGCGCGGCCUAACGCGACAGCAUUCAACCAAUCCAGGCGAGACGCACCUGGUACCGCCCGCUGGUCCCCUGGGCCUGGUCAAUGUGCUUCGAUCUCUGGGUCAGUCGGUUUGUAAGGUCCUCCCACUGCUGUGUGAUGGAGCCCAGCUCAGACCGCACCUCCGCCAGGUCCUCGGGGUCCUGAGCAGAGUCGCCAGUCUGGGAGAGGAUCCCCUCGGCGGACUGGGUCAGCUGGUCGAACUGUGGCCGCCUGGUCUCGAACUCACGCAGCAUGAACUUGGAGAGAGGGGGUUAUGUGGUUAAUCAGGAACUUAAAUAGCGGGUUUCGGGAAAAAUGGAAUUGCAUUGACAAAAGAAGUGCGUUGCUCACACCAAACAGAUUUUUGGCGUUGCAUUACUUGUGGGAUCAUUUGGAUUCAUAACAUAUUUAGCUGUAUGUAGCCCAAAUAAAUCUGUUUUGAGCUGUAUUUCCAAUAAAUGGAUGGAAGGGACACUGAAACAACCACAUAAUGUUUGUCCCUCCCAAAGAAAACUAGCGAACUACUUUUAAAACACUCGAUUCGAUUGGCCUCGCUAACAUUGUAGCAGCUCAACACUCAAAAUAUGGUUUAUGCACAUAUGUUUAUACACAUCAUUUCGUGUGGUGACAGCAUCAAGCUAAUAUUACUGCAUUGAUUUUGUGUGUAGUUUAGGGGUGCAAUACACAGCCAAAUGGAAUAUUGGAUUGUGAUUUGGAAUUUGAAUUGUACCAUGUCCAGUCCUUCUUAAGAAUGUGAAGCAUUAAAAUAUAUUCUUAUCCUCAUAAUCAGCUUGCCUCCAUAACUUAACUGCAGUCUCAAGUGUCAAAACAACAGAAAUGUAUUAGCGGAAAGCGUUAAUAUGUGUAUUUAUAGUGCAAGAAAUGAUUAAAACACUGGUUGUUUUGAUGGUUCCUUGUUUUUAAUGCAUUUCUGCUGACGGUGGCGUUUCUGGACCUUCUCCGCUCACAUACCUGCGCUUGUUGCCUCUGCGUGUUGAGCAUGUUGGGGUC
ensembl:lncRNA